AGAGCGAACGCUGGCGGCAGGCCUAAAACAUGCAAGUCGAACGAGCCCUUCGGGGUUAGUGGCGGACGGGUGAGUAACACGUGGGAACGUGCCUUUUGGUUCGGAACAACUCAGGGAAACUUGAGCUAAUACCGAAUGUGCCCUUCGGGGGAAAGAUUUAUCGCCAUUAGAGCGGCCCGCGUCUGAUUAGCUAGUUGGUGAGGUAAAGGCUCACCAAGGCUUCGAUCAGUAGCUGGUCUGAGAGGAUGAUCAGCCACACUGGGACUGAGACACGGCCCAGACUCCUACGGGAGGCAGCAGUUAGGAAUCUUGCGCAAUGGGCGAAAGCCUGACGCAGCCAUGCCGCGUGAAUGAUGAAGGUCUUAGGAUUGUAAAAUUCUUUCAGCGGGGACGAUAAUGACGGUACCCGCAGAAGAAGCCCCGGCUAACUUCGUGCCAGCAGCCGC
rnacentral:rRNA from 1 species